AUGGGUUGGACCAAAGAGAAGAGGAAAGUCAAGGAGAACCAACUGAACAAUUAAUGUCAAUACCUUUGAAGAAAGAAGAUUCAUCAAAAAUUAUUCAAUUUGGGUCCAUGCUAAAUCAAGAUCUUCGAAAAGAGCUUGUAAUUUUUUUAUAGAAAAAUGCCGACGUCUUGCAUGGUCAGCAUCAGACAUGCCAGAUACAUCUUCUGACAUAAUUGUCCAUAAGUUAAAUAUUAAUCCCAAAUUCUCCCAAAGAAGAGGAAUUUUGCAUCUGAAAGACAAAAAACAAUCGAUG
rnacentral:lncRNA from 1 species